rnacentral:rRNA from 1 species
UACGGGGGGGGCAAGCGUUGUUCGGAAUCACUGGGCGUAAAGCGUGCGCAGGCGGUUUUGUAAGUCAGAUGUGAAAUCCCCGGGCUUAACCUGGGAACUGCGUUUGAAACUACAAGGCUAGAGUGUGGCAGAGGGGGGUGGAAUUCCACGUGUAGCAGUGAAAUGCGUAGAGAUGUGGAGGAACACCGAUGGCGAAGGCAGCCCCCUGGGUUAACACUGACGCUCAGGCACGAAAGCGUGGGGAGCAAACAGG